ACUGGAGGAUACAGCAAAGACUUAAAAGCAGGGAGAGGGAGGUCCUUCUGGAUUCAUUGUCAAUUGUUCUAGUUCCACACCCAUAUGUGGGCCCUCAUAGAGAAGAUAUAAAGGGAGGACAUUGGGAGGCUUUGGAAGUGUGGAUGAUUGUGAGAGCAGACCUGGAAUUACCAUGCAGAAACGGCGUGACUCUGCCUAGGGAGGUUUAUUCUCACACCAAUUAAUUGGUGCUUCAGAGACAAGCUUAUUACAUAUGUGGUAAAAUCUAAGGCAAGCAGCAGCAGUAUUCUGUCCAACAAAGACCCUUUCAAAAUACUCUCUGAUGAUAUGCAAAAUUGUGCUCCAAUGACCAGGCCUAAUCAAAAUAUGGGCAGAGGCUUCAGCCCAAUGUCUGCUGUUCUCUUUAUGGGCCUAAACCCUCUACUGUCCUAAAGAAAAUACUGGAGUGACAGGAGGAAGGCAAUGAAAAGACAAUGGAGCACAACUGUAUCUCAUUCUGUUCAGUUCCAAAUUGUUUCUACUCUGGGUCUGUAAAUCCAACAGCUUCCAACAGUCCCAAGUUUCAGAAGAAAUCUCAGAUGCUUAUGACUAAUAUUUUUUUAAAAAUUAUCUAAGUAAUACUUAAAAUAAUGAAUAAAAUUUUAAAAAUGACAAGUUCAAGCAGGUAUGAUAAACAUGUAUUUUGCACACGAAUCUGAAAACCUGAGAAACAUCACAAUGUGUGUAUUUAUCUACCACUCAAUCUACUUUUAUCUUUUAAAUUUAACAUGAUCUUCUAAUGAAUCAAGAUAAAUGCCCUGACUUUAAAUAGGCUUUCAUCUUACACAAUGGCAUAUGGAUUAUAUUCAAAUGAAAUUUUAAAAAUAGGGGGUAUAUCUCAGUGUUAGAGUAUUUGCAAAUAAAAUAUUAGAAAUCUUUGAGUUGCCUAUUUUGUUUUCCUAAUAAUACAUAUACAAUUAUUAAUUAUUUACACAAUACAUAUAAUACUUUCAAUCAUUGUUUUUCAAACUGAUUAUUCCAAAGGUAAAUCAAAAUCAAGGCAAAGCAGUGUAUUUUUCAUCAGUGUUGUUGUGUCCUUAAUUCAUAUGGAAAAAAGUAACCUUAUAAAUUGUAUAAGUAAUUGUCCAAAUGCAUAUUUGACACUAAUUAUCUGCUGUGUAUAUUUAUAUAGACACGUAUUCUGUAUUUAUAUUUAUUUUUAAUCAUCUCGCUCCCUCCACUGACCCUCAAACUACUAUACAAGCUCCAUCAGGAUAGCAUUUUUUUUUCUUUUCUGUUUAUGAAUGUAUUCCCAAUGUUAUACAGUUCCUGAAAUAUACCAAGCACUCAGUAAACAUUAUUCUUAUCAACAGAAUAUUUUUGCAUUUAAACAGAUGUGCUUUCUCAUAAUCACGUU
rnacentral:lncRNA from 1 species